rnacentral:rRNA from 1 species
UUUGCAUUUUCCANUAGCGGAGGAAAAGAAACUAACAAGGAUUCCCCUAGUAACGGCGAGGUGAAGCGGGAAGAGCUCAAAUUUGAAAUCUGGUGGCCUCAGGUCAUCCGAGUUGUAAUCUAUAGAAGUGUUUUCCGUGCUGGCUCAUGUACAAGUCCCUUGGAACAGGGCGUCAUAGAGGGUGAGAAUCCCGUCCUUGACAUGAACUACCAGUGCUCUGUGAUACAUUUUCAACGAGUCGAGUUGUUUGGGAAUGCAGCUCAAAAUGGGUGGUAAAUUCCAUCUAAAGCUAAAUAUUGGCGAGAGACCGAUAGCGAACAAGUACCGUGAGGGAAAGAUGAAAAGCACUUUGGAAAGAGAGUUAAACAGUAUGUGAAAUUGUUAAAAGGGAAACGAUUGAAGUCAGUCGUGCUCUUUGGAUUCAGCCGGUUCUGCCGGUGUACUUCCUUUGAGUGGGGUCAACAUCAGUUUUGACCGCUGGAUAAAGGCUGGAGGAACGUAGCACCCCCGGGUGAACCUUAUAGCCUCCUGUCACAUACACGUGGUUGGGACUGAGGAACGCAGCACGCCUUUAUGGCCAGGAUUCGUCCCAUGUACGUGCUUAGGAUGUNCCAAUAAUGGCUUUAAACGACCCGUCUUGAA